UUAAGACUUGCAGUGAUGUUUAACUCCUGUCCACGUGAACAUCACAGCAAGUCUGUGCU
rnacentral:pre_miRNA from 1 species